GACAACGCUUUAGGGGGAGCGUACGUGUGAGUGCGCGGGUGAGUGUCAGCGUACGGGUUAGGAUUAGGGGAUGGGUGAGGGUCAGGCUUCGGGGAAGAUUUAGGGUUAGGGUUUGGGCUAGGGUUAGGGUUAGGGGACGGGGACGGUUUAG